rnacentral:rRNA from 1 species
GACGAACGCUGGCGGCGUGCUUAACACAUGCAAGUCGAACGGAAAGGCCCUGCUUGCAGGGUGCUCGAGUGGCGAACGGGUGAGUAACACGUGGGUGAUCUGCCCCUUAUUUUGGGAUAAGCCUGGGAAACUGGGUCUAAUACUGGAUAGGACCAUGCUGUAGGUGGUGUGGUGGAAAGAUUAGUUUCGGUAAGGGAUGAGCUCGCGGCCUAUCAGCUUGUUGGUGGGGUAAUGGCCUACCAAGGCGUCGACGGGUAGCCGGCCUGAGAGGGUGGACGGCCACAUUGGGACUGAUAUACGGCCCAGACUCCUACGGGAGGCAGCAGUGGGGAAUAUUGCACAAUGGGCGCAAGCCUGAUGCAGCGACGCCGCGUGGGUGAUGACGGCCUUCGGGUUGUAAACUCCUUUCAGCCAUGACGAAGCCCUUGUGGUGACGGUAGUGGUAGAAGAAGCACCGGCUAACUACGUG